AUGAUGCUUGGCAGGACGUUUGCCUCUUUUUAAGACUAGUUUGUCAAUUUUUUGGAGGGUGGGGAUUGGCCACAGCAGCUAGGUGGGUGGGGGAAUCAUGUUUAAACUUCCUUUGUUGAAAUUUUGUUGAAUUUUUAGGUACGAGUUAGCUGAAGAUUGUGCUGAUGAUGACGAUGCAAAGGUUGGAAUCUCUGAGUUGAGGAAGGCGGGUUUAGAGGAGCUGAAGAUGCAUAAUUCACUGGUACAGGAGUGGGGAUUGGACCUUGCAAAAGAGAACAAUAUUAAUUCUGCAACGGUAAAAUACACACAAUUCCUGUUAGCCACAGCCUCUGGGAAGAUUGAAGGACUAAAAGGUGCUGGUAAACUCGCAACACCAUUUGAGAAAACAAAAA